rnacentral:rRNA from 1 species
CCCCUUAGAUGUCCUGGGCCGCACGCGCGCUACACUGACAUGUUCAACAAGCCUCCUAGUUCGACAGGAUUUGGGAAAUCUUUGAACGCAUGUCGUGAUAGGGAUAGAUCAUUGCAAUUAUUGAUCUUGAACGAGGAAUUCCUAGUAAACGCGAGUCAUCAGCUCGCAUUGAUUACGUCCCUGCCCUUUGUACACACCGCCCGUCGCACCUACCGAUUGAAUGUUUCGGUGAAGAUUCCGGAUAGGACUUUUUUGAUUUAUUUCAAUUUUGUCUUAAAAGCUAUCUAAACCUCAACAUUUAGAGGAAGGUGAAGUCGUAACA